rnacentral:rRNA from 1 species
UCGAACGGAAAGGCCCUGCUUGCAGGGUACUCGAGUGGCGAACGGGUGAGUAACACGUGGGUGAUCUGCCCUGCACUUCGGGAUAAGCCUGGGAAACUGGGUCUAAUACCGGAUAGGAGCCAUUUUUAGUGUGAUGGUUGGAAAGUUUUUUCGGUGUAGGAUGAGCUCGCGGCCUAUCAGCUUGUUGGUGGGGUAAUGGCCUACCAAGGCGGCGACGGGUAGCCGGCCUGAGAGGGUGGACGGCCACAUUGGGACUGAGAUACGGCCCAGACUCCUACGGGAGGCAGCAGUGGGGAAUAUUGCACAAUGGGCGCAAGCCUGAUGCAGCGACGCCGCGUGGGGGAUGACGGCCUUCGGGUUGUAAACUCCUUUCGCUAGGGACGAAGCUUUUUGUGACGGUACCUAGAUAAGAAGCACCGGCUAACUACGUGCCAGCAGCCGCGGUAAUACGUAGGGUGCGAGCGUUGUCCGGAAUUACUGGGCGUAAAGGGCUCGUAGGUGGUUUGUCGCGUCGUCUGUGAAAUUCCGGGGCUUAACUCCGGGCGUGCAGGCGAUACGGGCAUAACUUGAGUACUGUAGGGGUAACUGGAAUUCCUGGUGUAGCGGUGAAAUGCGCAGAUAUCAGGAGGAACACCGAUGGCGAAGGCAGGUUACUGGGCAGUUACUGACGCUGAGGAGCGAAAGCAUGGGUAGCGAACAGG